ensembl:lncRNA
UGGCUUUGUAACUCAGUAGCUAUCUGACUCUAGGCAAGUUUCCUAAAUUUCAAAACCCACAUAAAAUAGUUCAUUCAACCCUUCAGAAAUGUGGCUAAGACUAGAAUGUCUGAGAACACUUUGAUACAUCUAACUAUUUUUCUAGAGAGACAGGAUUAGGUUUGGGGAAUGUGUCUUAAAUGGAAAGAUGCUGAGGAAAAUAGGAAGCCACUGGAACAGUUCCCUGAUGGCCUAGUGGGUUAAUGAUCUGGCAUUGUCACUGGUGUGGCUCAGGUUCCAUCCCUGGCCCAGGAGCUUCCCACAUGCUGUGGGCACAGCCAAAAUAAAUAAAAUAAAAUAAAAUAUAAGAUAAAAUGACUAUAUAGACCAUGCAGAAUGUGUAAUUUGAUCAACAAGAAGUUCAACUAUAGUGCCACUUACAGUUUGGACCAUUAUUGUAUGGGCAGAGUUCAUGGAAAAAUACACAACCUCUCUUAUUCUGAAAUACUUAGCAUGAAAAACAGAUGAGAAUUUAAAUAUUUCUCAAGCUCAUCAUGAAAAUGCCUAGCAUAUUUUGUGGACAACAAUUUCUUGCAUUAUUAGUUACUUUGUUUUUCAGUAGGUGCAAGCAUAUUGUGAGAUGUUCUAUAUUUAUGAAAUUUAUGACAAACUGUGAAAAUAACAUAAUUCAUUUUGGGUGAGCCAAAGCAGUAGCCCAAAUAUUUCAUUGAAAUUCAGAUCAACACUUUGGAUUCUAUAUUUGUUCUUAGAUAGAUUUAAAAAUAUGAUUGGAGAUAUAUUUCUCAUUGCCAUUUUUUUUACAUUUUGCUACAGUUUAUUAUAUUUUAGAAAUGAUUCAAUAUGGUUAUGCAAUAGGCAGUAUAAAUCACCUACUUCAUAUUUACACAUUCUGUUAUGGCCAUAAGAAGCUGAGAUUUUCUUUUGAAUGACCGGGAACUUGAGUAUCAUUGUAUUAUUUCUUCUUUUUCUCCUUGAAUGUAACUUUCAUUGUUUGUAUAUUAGAAAACAUUUUGAAUGAGAGAAGGCAAGGCUCUGAGUUAUGUAAGUAGAACUCUAUUCCAGAAAUGAUAGCAUCUGUCUAUCUCAUUGCCAUUUUUUAAUUUCCAUUUUUAGAUUGUGAGAAAUGCAUUAGACUGAAAAUCAGCAAACAUGAGAACUGAUAUCUACUCAUCUGUGUUGGAUAGCAUGUCUUUGGAGAAGUCUUCCUGCACCCCUCUCCCAAUAAAGUGAAGCAUUCUGCUGCUGUGCUGUCCACUAGUUUAUGCCCUGUUUUUCUCUAGUGUAGUUAUGUGUUCACAUACCUAUCUUUUGUAUCAGACAGUGGGUUCUCUGAUGGGAAAUACUUGGUCUUGUCCUGCUUGGUAACUUUAGCAAAGGACCCAACAUGUUGUUGAUGCUCAAUAAAUGUUUUUUGACCCAAAAACAUUCAAUCGAAAUGAAUCCUUAACGCUGGAAAAACAGCUGCAAGGUUAGUUAGGACUCUUUUAAUCUUGAUUCUGAUUAAACAAUACCUUGAACCUCAGAAUUUUUCAGUACUUGAUUUAGAGAGAUGGAAACCUAGGUGAAUAACAUUCAUUUUUGUAUUCCUCCGAGAGUACAGUUAUCCUUUCAGGGAAAUAAAUCAACUGAGGAAACUCGUAGAAACUGAAUGUGAGUGAAAUGAAAUGGCACGUGUGUGUGUGUGUGUGUGUGUGUGUGUGUGUGCGUGCGCAUGCAUGAGAGAGAUUCGAAGGGAUGAGAAGAAUCUAAUCUGUCAAGAUAGUCACUAGCAAUGAAAAUCACUAUUCAGUGCCUACUCAAUAUCCACUUCUCUUAUUUAACAGGCAUUCCAGUUAUGGAGAAACCUUGAACCUUGCUUUGGCAGCCUCAGGUAUAGAUGGAAGUAGUCAUGUGACCCAGUUCUGGCCAGUGAUAAAAUUUGCAAAAGGCUCUUGCUGAGGCUUCCAGGAAAGCUUUAUAAGAGAAACUCCCUGGGAUGGUCCUUUAUUCCGUUUGCCUUCUCCCUGAUGGAUGCCUGGGGGAGUAAUUAUCUUGCAACAUGAGAAUUAAAUCCACAUUUUAGGACUGGUUUCAAUAGGCGUACUGGAGAAAUCUGGAUCCCUGAUGACCCUGAGCCACAGUACUCAUCCUGAUCUUCCUGUCCAUGGCUUGUUGCAUAAGACGAGUUUAACCCCUUUCUUAUUUAACUCAUUGUGGGGUUUUCUGGAAACCAAACACAGUUCUGAUAGAUUUGCCCUUUCAAGGAAAAGGGGAGCACAUGGCUUCGAAGUCUGACGAGAUUUUCCAUGGCCAAAACCAUUCUACUGAAACAGCUCCAUCUUUGCCCAUGAUGCAAAGGAACUGUCCCGAAUGACAUAGCAUGUCUGAACAUUUCUUUGUCAAAAAGCCUGGGCUUAAAAAACCCAUGAAAGUUGUCUUAGAAGUAAAUAUGGGAGUUCCCAUCAUGGCCUAGUGGUUAAGGAACCCAACUAGUAUCCAUGAGGACGCAGGUUUGAUCCCUGGCCUCUCUCAGUGGGUUAAGGAUCCGGCGUUGCUGUGAGCUGUGAUGUAAGCUGCAGACAUGGCUCAAAUCCCACACUGCAGUGGCUGUGGGGUAGGCCAGCAGCAGUAGCUCUGCUUUGACCCCUAGCCUGGGAACCUCCGUAUGCUGCAGGUGCAGCCCUAAAAA